UUUUAAAUGAUGUCAUGAACACCCCCUUUAACGCUGCGCUGCACCUCCCCAACCCAAGAACUAAAAUAUCACCGAUAAUUUUCAUCUACUUCCACGUGCUCGCCAUCCUUGAGCCCUGUCUCCCCCUCAGAAGUAACCUGCAUCAUGCUUUGUGUUUACACAGCUCUUACAUUGCUUUAACUUCUUUUCACAUUUCUGUGCAUUAUUGAGCAAUAGAUUUUUUUUUUUUUUGUAAGAACACCAAUUCCAUUCCUGGGGGCUCCAACACUCGUGAUGUAAGCAGCUCCCAAUGGCCCCACCUCCUAACACCAUCACGUCGGUCCAACAUAUGAAUUCUGAGGCGACACAAACAUUCAGACCAUAACACCAAGAUUCGCCUUCUUGUCGAGUGAAGUUGCAUUUCAUUCAUUUUCUCUGCCACGUAAUCCGGUCCGUCUUCAGGGUUCGAGGACUUGGAAGGCAGGUCAAGAAAAAACGAUGUGGCCAUGAAGUGGCAGUAGGACACACAGGCUUUAUUUGGACGCGCAAGAAUGACCACCUCCUAGUGGGCACAUACCUGUCUGUGGACAAGCUCCUCAGGCCAGGGCUUCACCUACACCUUUGAACCCACCUGGACCCCAUUUGGGGCCUGGUAAGUGUGAUUGAUGCCCAGCAGAACUGGUUGGGUGGCCAGGUGGUCAUGCACUCUGUCACUUCUGUCCACAGGAUGGCAGCAUUUAGUCAAGGCUCCAGCCCCACCAGGGCCCGCCCGGCUGUUUGGGAAUUUGAAAGUACCUGGUUUCUUACUGGAAUGAAAACAGUACAUCAGAUCUCCUCCUAUGAGGGAACCAGAUACAAUAAUGCACCGUGUUAUCUACCCACCCUCUCGUCCAUGCACUUCCUGGAAGAUGACCGCUUUGAGGUGAAUUACACGAUGUUUCGGGACUGGGCAUCCGUCCCAGAAGGACUAUCGCGGUCUAGAGCUUGUGUUAGCUGAACUCCAGCAAGUAGGCUGAAAUCAUAGCUCAUUUCACCCACAACUCAUUAGAUGCAAAGAAUUAUUGUUAAAGAGAAAGGAGGGAAAAUGAACAAUUGAGCACUUACUGUAUGCCAUGUGCUUUAGACCAGGGCUUUCCUAAGUGCGUGGGCAUCAGAAUCACUGGUUAAAACACACUGCUGGCCCCCCCCCAAACCCCCCACCCCGAGCUUCUGACUCCGUAGGUCUGGGCGGGGCCUGAGGAUCUGCAUCUAACAAGGCCCCAGCUGGUGCUGGUGCUGGGCCAGGCAGUCGCCACUUUCAAACAAUCACACCGAAUCCUUAGUAAGUGUUAUUGUCUCCAUUUUGCAGAUGAGAAAACUGAGGUUCAGGAGCUUAAAUGGCUUGCCUCAUGAUACACCCUCGUAAGUGGACCCCUGGAAUGUGAACCCCGGUCAGUCUGACUCCCAACCCUGGCUCUGCCCACCGCACCAUUCUGUAAGAAAAAGGGAAUCAACCUGUACUUUGGGGGUUUCUUUGAAACGUAUGGCCCCAAAAAGGAGGAAGCAGUGCCCAAAGCCAGUGUGAUUCUUUUCAGAGUUUAGCAAUAACAAUUAAGCCUGGCAGUUCCUCUGGUUAUGAAAGUAUUGAAGAAAGCUACCAAAGCGGAAUAAACAGGUGCAUUGUGUAUGAAGACACAUGCUGCUUUGCAUUAGUCAUGUAAAUUAAAACGUCUUUGAAGAUGAAAUAUAGACAUGGUGGGUAUUUUAAUCACCAGACUCCAACUUUGAAACCAGUAUAGGAUGUGGAAAAAAGACAGAAGUCAGUAAUUAUAAAAUCCUCCAGCUUGCCCGGGGAGAGAAAGGACACAGUUUGCCUAUGGAAAUAAAUGAGUAAAUUCAAGCUGGUGGGCUUUCGCUAGAAGUGAAUCGGCAGAUUAAUGACUGGGCUUGAGUU